AGCAGCAGGGAAAGGCUCUUAGUCCUGGGCUGUUCCUUGAGCAGUGUAGGAAGGAAGCUGCCUUUUGUUAAGGAAAGCCUUGGUGAAGUCUGGAAGAGCACAGUGCAGCUGAGAGGACCUGGGCUCACAGGGAAACAUGGAGGAGCUUUCAGCUCAUCCCCUGGUCCCUCCAGCAUGUGUGUGGUGCAUUACUGGGUGCUGAGAAGGCACUUCCAUGACAUGAAAGCCCAGUAAGUGACACUCAGCAGCCAUCAACUAUUUUAAUAUGGACUUUUCUGAGGGAGCCAAAAAAAUAAAAGCUUCUUCCAAGGUCAUUAGCUGACAA